UUGCUUACUUUUCCUGCUGUGCUCAUGUUGUUUCUGUCUUCUCUGCAGACCAGGAGACUGGUGAGUCUUUGUGGAUUUCUUCUCUGCUUGAGUUCAUGAAGCAGAUAUAUUGCACAGACAUUUAUUUUGUUGCCUGUGUAACAUCCAAUUCCAAUUCCACAUGUGACCGAUGUCUUUAAGCCACACCCAUUGGAUUAUUCUCAGACUGUCAAAACAAAGAAAAGGGUACUGAACCAGCCAUCAAAAUAUUGACUUCCAAAUUCCAGAUAAGAUUUUGUUUUCAUUAGGUUAAAUAUUAAGUUAAGGUGAUAAAUUGUAAUCACUUUCUCUUUUCCUCACUCUUCCCCCAGCCUCUGGAAUUCCUCGUUUCUCUUCUCUCAAUGCCACAUUGGUCGUUUUGCCUUGUAUUUCCUUGGUCUGCACUAAGCUGCAACUCUGAAUCCACAUGGGGCGGCUAGGAAGGAAGAGGAGUAAGGAAACAGGAAAAACGAAGUAGGGCAGAGAGAGCACCCUGGUUGUCUUUAAAGCAGAGAAUCAGACUCCUAAUUAGUCACAGCAAAGGGGAUCACUGUGCCUGGCAAUUCUGCUCCACUCAAAACUACCAAAGAUGUUGAAGGAGCUGAAAUGCUUGCUGGACUGGCUGUGGCUGUGGAGCCUGGAAUUCUGCCAUGAAGAGCAUGUGUGAGAGAGCAAAAUACUUGUGUACUUUCCUUAUGUGAAGGAGUUGGGAAAUAAUCGAAGAAGCCCAAUCCAAAAGCAAAGAUGUUCCAUCCAGUCUUCUCUGUGAGAGCCAAACUAUAAACCAUCUGAGUGUUCCAAAAGUGUUUUUUGAUGUAUUGAUAUAUUUUAAAUUAUCCUGAAAAUGUUCUUGGCAGAUGCUUAAGCGUGUAAUUACUGAGAUGAUGUAGAAAUGCAAAGUGUUUAUUAAAACAAUACAGAGUAGUACAAAUAGUAUGCUUGUCGCAAUAUAAAACUAUCUAAAAACUAAA